GCGGGGCCUAGGGGUCGGACUGCCGGACCUCUCCUCGGCGCGUCCCAGCGACUUUUUUAGGCCUGUUUGUCGCCCAGCAGUACUCGAUUCUUCACUUUUGGAUUCCCUUGAAUCUCUAUGGUGUCCUUUGGAGCCUAGCUAAGUAAAAAAUUAGAGACCUGUGGGCCCCUUAUAUUGGAAUCGGAGCUUAAGAUGGGAAAGGUUUGCUUGAAAACGUUUCUGCGAGCGAUGGAGGCGCGUCCUGCGACGAGGCGGGAGGAGCGCUGGGACCUGGUGGAUGGGAGAGGGCGACGGUAUAAGGAAGCUCUUGGAUCCAGGAACUUCUGAAAUCCGGACGAUUAAAAUUUGUAUUUAAUUAAGCGAAAGCUGGAGUUGUCUGCGGGGAAGAAAUCGUCAUAAGUGAAAGGUUAUUUUCCAUGAAAAUGUGGCCCACAACUCGUGUUGCCAUGCAGAACCUUCUGCUUACUCAAUAUUGAGUGCUGGAAAAUGACAGAAUGGCCUCUGUGGACCUGAAAAUUGGAAUGAUCUUCCUAUUUGUGGGCAGCAAGCCACCCAGCUGCCGAGGCAAGAGACCGAGGGCACGAGCUGUUCCAGCAUAAUAAAAUAUAUAAAACAACAAGAGUUAUAUUAGAUCUAGAUCAU
rnacentral:lncRNA from 1 species